UAUUAUUCGCNUAUUAAAAUAUUUAAGGKAGUAGUUGAUACAAGCUUGAAACCUAAAGAUUUUGGCGGUACUUAAUCUUAUCAGAGGAACCUGCCUAUUAAACGAUAACCCGCGAUAAAUCUUACCGUCUCGCUGUUUGUACACCGUCGUCUAAGCAACCUUUAWASAGGUUGGCUUAAAAUAUUUUUACUAAAUACAGAUCUAGGCGCAGCCUGGGCCGGAUAAAGGUUGGUUACAAUUGCCCUGUCAUUGGAAAAAUAUUUUAUUAGUAUUAUGAAAUUGGAUUUGAAAGUAAUAGUAGUUUAACACGCUGCUAUAAAUACUCCUUUAAGUAUGUACAUAU
rnacentral:rRNA from 1 species